rnacentral:tRNA from 1 species
GGAGAUAUAACUCAGUUGGUUAGAGUAGUGGUCUUAUAUGCCAAAAGGCGAAGGUUCAAAUCCUUCUAUCUCUA